rnacentral:misc_RNA from 1 species
AAGUCGUAACAAGGUUUCCGUAGGUGAACCUGCGGAAGGAUCAUUAAAGAGUUAGGGUCCUAGUGGCCCAACCUCCAACCCUCUGUUGUUAAAACUACCUUGUUGCUUUGGCGGGACCGUUCGGUCUCCGAGCGCGUUAACCCUCGGGUUGGCGAGCGCCCGCCAGAGAACCCCAAACCCUGAAUAUUAGUGUCGUCUGAGUACUAUAUAAUAGUUAAAA